GUGACCUCGGAUCAGGUAGCAUGCCAU
rnacentral:rRNA from 1 species